rnacentral:rRNA from 1 species
CCUACGGGAGGCAGCAGUGGGGAAUAUUGGGCAAUGGGCGCAAGCCUGACCCAGCAACGCCGCGUGAAGGAAGACGGCUUUCGGGUUGUAAACUUCUUUUCUGUGGGACGAAGAAAGUGACGGUACCUCAGGAAUAAGCCACCGCUAACUACGUGCCAGCAGCCGCGGUAAUACGUAGGUGGCAAGCGUUAUCCGGAUUUAUUGGGUGUAAAGGGCGUGUAGGCGGGAAAGCAAGUCAGAUGUGAAAAUUCAGGGCUCAACCCUGAGCCUGCAUUUGAAACUGUUUUUCUUGAGUGCAGGAGAGGCAAUCGGAAUUCCGUGUGUAGCGGUGAAAUGCGUAGAUAUACGGAGGAACACCAGUGGCGAAGGCGGAUUGCUGGACAGUAACUGACGCUGAGGCGCGAAAGCGUGGGGAGCAAACAGGAUUAGAUACCCUUGUAGUC